rnacentral:rRNA from 1 species
GACGAACGCUGGCGGCGUGCCUAAUACAUGCAAGUAGAACGCUGAAGGAGGAGCUUGCUUCUCUGGAUGAGUUGCGAACGGGUGAGUAACGCGUAGGUAACCUGCCUGGUAGCGGGGGAUAACUAUUGGAAACGAUAGCUAACACCGCAUAAUAGUAGAUGUUGCAUGACAUUUGCUUAAAAGGUGCAAUUGCAUCACUACCAGAUGGACCUGCGUUGUAUUAGCUAGUUGGUGGGGUAACGGCUCACCAAGGCGACGAUACAUAGCCGACCUGAGAGGGUGAUCGGCCACACUGGGACUGAGACACGGCCCAGACUCCUACGGGAGGCAGCAGUAGGGAAUCUUCGGCAAUGGACGGAAGUCUGACCGAGCAACGCCGCGUGAGUGCAGAAGGUUGUCGGAUCGUAAAGCUCUGUUGUAAGAGAAGAACGAGUGUGAGAGUGGAAAGUUCACACUGUGACGGUAUCUUACCAGAAAGGGACGGCUAACUACGUG